rnacentral:rRNA from 1 species
UUUAAAUUUAGAGUUUGAUCCUGGCUCAGGACGAACGCUGGCGGCGUGCUUAACACAUGCAAGUCGAGCGAUGAAGCUUCCUUCGGGAAGUGGAUUAGCGGCGGACGGGUGAGUAACACGUGGGUAACCUGCCUCAAAGUGGGGGAUAGCCUUCCGAAAGGAAGAUUAAUACCGCAUAAUAUAAGAGAAUCGCAUGAUUUUCUUAUCAAAGAUUUAUUGCUUUGAGAUGGACCCGCGGCGCAUUAGCUAGUUGGUAAGGUAACGGCUUACCAAGGCAACGAUGCGUAGCCGACCUGAGAGGGUGAUCGGCCACAUUGGAACUGAGACACGGUCCAGACUCCUACGGGAGGCAGCAGUGGGGAAUAUUGCGCAAUGGGGGAAACCCUGACGCAGCAACGCCGCGUGGGUGAUGAAGGUCUUCGGAUUGUAAAGCCCUGUUUUCUAGGACGAUAAUGACGGUACUAGAGGAGGAAGCCACGGCUAACUACGUGCCAGCAGCCGCGGUAAUACGUAGGUGGCGAGCGUUGUCCGGAUUUACUGGGCGUAAAGGGUGCGUAGGCGGAUGUUUAAGUGGGAUGUGAAAUCCCCGGGCUUAACCUGGGGGCUGCAUUCCAAACUGGAUAUCUAGAGUGCAGGAGAGGAAAGCGGAAUUCCUAGUGUAGCGGUGAAAUGCGUAGAGAUUAGGAAGAAC